rnacentral:rRNA from 1 species
AUACGUAGGGGGCGAACGUUGUCCGGAAUGAUUGGGCGUAAAGGGCGCGUAGGCGGCCCGGUAAGUCUGGAGUGAAAGUCCUGUUUUUAAGAUGGGAAUUGCUUUGGAUACUGUCGGGCUUGAGUGCAGGAGAGGUAAGUGGAAUUCCCAGUGUAGCGGUGAAAUGCGUAGAGAUUGGGAGGAACACCAGUGGCGAAGGCGACUUACUGGACUGUAACUGACGCUGAGGCGCGAAAGUGUGGGGAGCAAGCAGGAUUAGAUACCCUGGUAGUCCACACUGUAAACGAUGAAUGCUAGGUGUAGGGGGUAUCGACCCCUGCUGUGCCGCAGUCAACACAAUAAGCAUUCCGCCUGGGGAGUACGGCCGCAAGGUUGAAACUCAAAUGAAUUGACGGGG